UUGAACGCUGGCGGCAGGCUUAACACAUGCAAGUCGAGCGGAAACGAUGAUUGCUUGCAAUCAGGCGUCGAGCGGCGGACGGGUGAGUAAUGCUUGGGAAUAUGCCUAGAGGUGGGGGACAACAGUUGGAAACGACUGCUAAUACCGCAUAAUGUCUACGGACCAAAGGAGGGGGACCUUCGGGCCUUUCGCCUUUAGAUUAGCCCAAGUGAGAUUAGCUAGUUGGUGGGGUAAAGGCCUACCAAGGCGACGAUCUCUAGCUGGUUUUGAGAGGAUGAUCAGCCACACUGGGACUGAGACACGGCCCAGACUCCUACGGGAGGCAGCAGUGGGGAAUAUUGCACAAUGGGGGAAACCCUGAUGCAGCCAUGCCGCGUGUGUGAAGAAGGCCUGUUCGGUA
rnacentral:rRNA from 1 species